rnacentral:rRNA from 1 species
AAAAAAAUGGCAGCUACUUACUCUCCCGCAAUCGCAGUACCAUCAGCACAAUCGGGCUUAACUUCUCUGUUCGGAAUGGGAAGAGGUGGACCCCCGACGUUUUAACCACC